CCAACAUCUUGAUUUCAGACUCGGACAUUCUAAGCCAGAGAACCAGCCUAACCCAUUGCACUUCUGACUUACCGAACUGUGAGAUAACACAUGUAUAUGUUUUAGGUUUGUGGUAAUUUAUUACAGCAGUGAUAGAAAACUAAUACAAUCAUUUUCAUGUGGACCUGCUAGGGUCUUCCAUCAUAUCUUCUAACUGGUUGUUGCUUAUGACCUACACACAGCGGUUAAACUGUCAAUGAAAGAGAAGAAAAGAAAAUCAGUGCCCACUCAGAGGGAAACAGCCAUGGGAACUUUGACUUCUGGACUGAGCUGAAGAUUGUGUAAAAUGUGGAACACAAAGUUAGGAUACAAAAUGUAUUAAAAAUAGAUGUUAUGAAUCAGCAAUAAAGUUUAC